rnacentral:rRNA from 1 species
UGGGGAAUUUUGGACAAUGGGCGAAAGCCUGAUCCAGCAAUGCCGCGUGUGUGAAGAAGGCCCUUCGGGUUGUAAAGCACUUUUGUCCGGAAAGAAAUCCUUGGCUCUAAUACAGUCGGGGGAUGACGGUACCGGAAGAAUAAGCACCGGCUAACUACGUGCCAGCAGCCGCGGUAAUACGUAGGGUGCAAGCGUUAAUCGGAAUUACUGGGCGUAAAGCGUGCGCAGGCGGUUUGCUAAGACCGAUGUGAAAUCCCCGGGCUCAACCUGGGAACUGCAUUGGUGACUGGCAGGCUAGAGUAUGGCAGAGGGGGGUAGAAUUCCACGUGUAGCAGUGAAAUGCGUAGAGAUGUGGAGGAAUACCGAUGGCGAAGGCAGCCCCCUGGGCCAAUACUGACGCUCAUGCACGAAAAGCGUGGGGGAGCAAAACAGGAUUAGAUACCCUGGUAGUCCCACGCCCUAAACGAUGUCAACUAGUUGUUGGGGGAUUCAUUUCCUUAGUAACGUAGCUAACGCGUGAAGUUGACCGCCUGGGGAGUACGGUCGCAAGAUUAAAACUCAAAUGAAUUGAC